UAGGGAAUCUUCCACAAUGGACGCAAGUCUGAUGGAGCAACGCCGCGUGAGUGAAGAAGGUUUUCGGAUCGUAAAGCUCUGUUGUUGGUGAAGAAGGAUAGAGGCAGUAACUGGCCUUUAUUUGACGGUAAUCAACCAGAAAGUCACGGCUAACUACGUGCCAGCAGCCGCGGUAAUACGUAGGUGGCAAGCGUUGUCCGGAUUUAUUGGGCGUAAAGCGAGCGCAGGCGGAAGAAUAAGUCUGAUGUGAAAGCCCUCGGCUUAACCGAGGAAUUGCAUCGGAAACUGUUUUCUUGAGUGCAGAAGAGGAGAGUAGAACUCCAUGUGUAGCGGCGGAAUGCGUAGAUAUAUGGAAGAAUACCAGUGGCGAAGGCGGCUCUCUGGUCUGCAACUGACGCUGAGGCUCGAAAGCAUGGGUAGCGAACAGGAUUAGAUACCCUGGUAGUCCAUGCCGUAAACGAUGAGUGCUAAGUGUUGGGAGGCCUCCGCCUCUCAGUGCUGCAGCUAACGCAUUAAGCACUCCGCCUGGGGGAGUACGACCGCAAGGUUGAAAC
rnacentral:rRNA from 1 species